rnacentral:rRNA from 1 species
CACGUAGGCACCAAGCGUUAUCCGGAUUUAUUGGGCGUAAAGGGCUCGUAGGCGGUUUGUCGCGUCGGGAGUGAAAACAUCUGGCUUAACUGGGUGCUUGCUUUCGAUACGGGCAGACUAGAGGUAUGCAGGGGAGAACGGAAUUCCUGGUGUAGCGGUGAAAUGCGCAGAUAUCAGGAGGAACACCGGUGGCGAAGGCGGUUCUCUGGGCAUUACCUGACGCUGAGGAGCGAAAGUGUGGGGAGCGAACAGG